rnacentral:ncRNA from 1 species
UAAAUGAGGCGUAGUGUACUUACAUACGCAAGUAGAUGAUUAUUUCUUGUGAAUAAUUUGAACUUAGUGAGUAGAAGUACAUGUAUGCGUAGAAGUGUUGGCGUAGCUGCAUGAGCUGCCAUUGUACAGAUCUUGGUGGUAGUAGCAAUAUCGAAUGAGACCUUGGAGACUGAAGUGGAGAAGGGUUUCGUGUGACAGUGGUUGAUCACGAGUUAGUCGGUCCUAAGUUCAAGGCGAAAGCCGAAAAUUUUCAAGUAAAACAAAAAUGCCUAACUAUAUAAACAAAGCGAAUAUAAUACACUUGAAUAAUUUUGAACGAAAGGGAAUACGGUUCCAAUUCCGUAACCUGUUGAGUAUCCGUUUGUUAUUAAAUAUGGGCCUCGUGCUCAUCCUGGCAACAGGAACGACCAUAAAGAAGCCGUCGAGAGAUAUCGGAAGAGUUUUCUUUUCUGUUUUAUAGCCGUACUACCAUGGAAGUCUUUCGCAGAGAGAUAUGGUAGAUGGGCUAGAAGAGCAUGACAUAUACUGUUGUGUCGAUAUUUUCUCCUCGGACCUUGAAAAUUUAUGGUGGGGACACGCAAACUUCUCAACAGGCCGUACCAAUAUCCGCAGCUGGUCUCCAAGGUGAAGAGUCUCUAGUCGAUAGAAUAAUGUAGGUAAGGGAAGUCGGCAAAUUAGAUCCGUAACUUCGGGAUAAGGAUUGGCUCUGAAGAUUGAGAUAGUCGGGCUUGAUUGGGAAACAAUAACAUGGUUUAUGUGCUCGUUCUGGGUAAAUAGAGUUUCUAGCAUUUAUGUUAGUUACUUGUUCCCCGGAUAGUUUAGUUACGUAGCCAAUUGUGGAACUUUCUUGCUAAAAUUUUUAAGAAUACUAUUUGGGUUAAACCAAUUAGUUCUUAUCAAUUAUAACGAUUAUCAAUUAACAAUCAAUUCAGAACUGGCACGGACUUGGGGAAUCCGACUGUCUAAUUAAAACAAAGCAUUGUGAUGGCCCUAGCGGGUGUUGACACAAUGUGAUUUCUGCCCAGGUGGGAUCCCC